AGCAAUCUGCCUUUGGAUGGGGGAUAACAGCCGGAAACGACUGCUAAUACCGCAUGAUGCAGCGAGACCGCAUGAUUUUGCUGCCAAAGAUUUAUCGUCCAAAGAUGAGCUCGCGUCUGAUUAGCCAGUUGGCGGGGUAACGGCCCACCAAAGCGACGAUCAGUAGCCGGACUGAGAGGUUGAACGGCCACAUUGGGACUGAGACACGGCCCAGACUCCUACGGAAGGCAGCAG
rnacentral:rRNA from 1 species